CAGAUGCAUAAUUGUCGACACAUGUAUACAAACACGACACAGCUCGAAUGUUCACGCAUACAAAGAGAAUAAUGGGCCGACGAAUAACAACGGAAACCGUACUUUACUGGUUCAUUCAAACAAUUGUAGUAAUUAGUGUUAUUCUUACUAUAUGUUUCUCGCUCAAGAGUGCUCUAGAGUCGGAUCAAAUUCAUCGGCGUCUAAGGUGAGGUAUUAUCUAUAUUUCUGUAUUUCUUUAAUAUUCACCAUAGGUUUCCGAGAUAUUUUCUGAUCGCAAAUUUUGGUUUAAACCUGCACUAGCUUUGUUAUUUCCUCGGUAAAAUCCCACCCUAUCUGAG